AUAACUCCCAUGAGGUGAAGGUUUUCUUUCCACUUAAACCAUGUCAUGGCUAAUCAAGAUUUUGGUUUUGCUCAUUGAAUCAAUUAAACACGUUCCAAUUAUUAAGGGAAUGCCAGAAUUAUUUGUGUGUAUGACAUACCCUAUCUUAUCCAGGAUGGAGAUUUAGGUUCUAUGAUAUACAUAUUAUACAUCUGAUAGAACUUGUCUGGCUGCCCGUGUCAACUGAGUUUAGCAUGUUUCCGAGCAAUGUUCCAGAACCUGAUAUAUACAUCCGUCAGCAGUUCCACUUCUUGAUGCCACGAGGCUGUGCUGGUGUGGUGAUCAGGCUACUGCUUAACCGAAUCGGUAUGUUUUGUCAGUCGCAACACCAGCUGUUGUGACCGCUGGUUUCAUACUGGAAGCUAAUAGUCGUUUCCACCAUAGAAAGAUUUAUCGAUUCAUGAUCAAAAUGAGUUCUGGAAUCUACAUAGUACACGAGAUGUUCAAAAUGAGUUCUGAAAGCUACAUAGUACACGGGAUGCACAUAGGGUUGGGUUAAUAAUAUUCAGGAAUAUAGUUAUGUUGAAGCCUCACUUCUUUGCUGACUGGGGACACGAAUGUCAUGCUGCAGUAUGUUCUUGUCCCUGCUACCAGAGGACAAGAUGGUUGAGUUCCAUGCUAAUACCCCAGCCCAUGUUUGGUGGCCUCCUAUGUUCCUUAUUCGUUUACAGUGAGAGCUAUCUCAGAUCUCCCAGAUUACACUUACAUGUUAUAUUCUUGAAACAGAAGAUUAUACCUACUUCAGGGUGUUUAUUGAAACUCUAAGCUAAUUCAAGUGGGAAAUGGUUUAAAUGAUCAGUAAAAAUUACUUCUUUGAGAUUUCUUCUUUGAGAUUUGUUUUCUGGGUAGGGCUGUACAAGAGUUAUCUGGUAUGUAUAGUUGCGUUCGUACUAGACAAGCCAGGUUAAUUAUUCUGUUGUUUUUUCCCAUUUGAUGGAUUCAUAUUGAAAAAAUCAAUGCCUCAUUUUAUUCAAUACUUAUAUGCAAAGUUAUUUUAGUUUCUUGAGGCACUCUUGAGGGGCAAGUUGAGCAGAAAUAGGGUCAAGGAAGACAGUUGGGGGUGAGCUGCAAGGUAAUUAUGGGGGUAUUUACAAGAUUUAUGUGUGAUCUCCACCUAUUAUUAAUUGUGGUUAUGGGUUCUCUUUCUACAUGGGUUAUUCUUGUGAUAGCUUUACGCAUUAUUUGCAUAGACACUAUAUAUUUUGAGGGCAAGACUAAGUUGAAAUCUUGCAGCUGCCACCAAUGGGUUAUUUUAAAUAUUAAUUCAGAGUUACUACUAUUGCAGCUCAUAUUUCCUAUAUUGUUUCUGAAAUGCACGUUCUCUCUACUAAUGGCAUGAUGUUUUCUAUCUCCAUGUGGCUAGCACCUUUCUCAAACGAUUAUUUAAGUGUAAAGUAAACAAUAUUAUAUUCAUUCUUAUUGUGUACUACUGUUUUUCUAAUUAAUGAACUGAUCGGCAAUACAUAUUUUGGAUUUUAUGUGAUAAAUCUCACAACGAUCUUAAACUGCGGCCAGUGGACAAAAUGCAUGGUACUGCUAUUUUAUACGGCUAUUCGGUUUUCCUGAAAUUUUUCAUAACCAAGGGUCAACAUAGACAUAAGAGUUCAUCAUAUUUCCAUGUUAUAGACAUAACAAAAUUCACCUUCAGCAUUAUUUUGGUAUUGACAUGCUGAAGAGUAUACCAUAGUUUGAUUAAAUGAAUUUUCACUGAAGAAAUAAGAACACUGUAAAUGAAUGUUUGUCAAAGAAAAAAAACAGUGAGUAAAUGAAUAUUUCCCUGCAAAGAAAUUAAUGAAUGUUUUUGGACCUAACAUGCCUAAUAAGUUUGUCUUGUAUCCUGAUUGAAGCAAUCGGGCUUUGGAUGUCACUAGGGAGAUAGACAAACAGAUAGGGAGUUUCUUAUUCGCCCCUUAAGAUUGAUAGCUGCUUCCUCAACAUUAUCUGCUUUGGGACUUCAACAUUUCUUAAGAUAUAGGAAUUUCUAUCUACCUCUCAAACAUAGACCUUAUACAUGCCAACAGACUCAAUUCUUAUUGCCACUCCUAAUCAGAUAACUAAGUCUGAAUGGAUACAAUGUAUAAUUUAGUGUUGACCGUAAACAAUGGCAGCUGCACUUCUAAUAUUGAAACUUUAGCCUUCUCAUACACAUUUUUGUAAUCUGGUAAAUCAACUGACAUAGUAAGAAAAAAUAAAUUAUAGACAGGGCGUAACUCCCUUGUGUUCCUGAUCAUCAAACCUGCAUACCUAGAGCGACUAGAUGAAAUAAGCUACCAGUUAGACUCACUGUAUUGCUACACACAAGGAUAUAUGUCAUUUAUUUCAUAUGGACCUCCUGCCUGAUUUUUUGAUGCAUGUGCAAAUGCAUUUGGCAGUCUCACUAGCCCCAACCUAGAGAAUUUGAGAUUUGGUGAAUCAGACAUAUCCAACUUUCUCAUCACUUGCAAGCUGUUGAAGGAUCUACAUUUGUUCAAUUGUGACUGAUAAUCUCAUCACAUUGAAAGUUGAGCAUGCUCAUCUCACUGAACUCAGUAUGGUUGGUUAUCUUUUUGAACAAGUUAAGCUAAACUGGCUCCCUCAACUCAUGCAAAUUGUUUUUGAUGAUUGGAUUGAUUUCCAAGAUCCACUGGAUCUUGGUCAUGUCCUAGCCAUUCCUCUAUACUAGAUCACAAAUGUCGCAUGUAGUUUUCACAAGAUGGCCAAGUUAGGUGAGUUUCCUAGCCCUACCUCUAUACUAGAUCUGAAGCUGGGAUUUAAAUCCAAAAAGGUUCAACAUUGUCGCUUUGCUAGCCAUGGCUCUAGCUCUUCUCUCAGUUCUCUGCUCAUUUCAUCAGCAUGUCUUUAUUCGUUGCAGAUUUGGGUGCAGCCAGAAUGUCCAAUAGAAAUUCUUGCAUCCUUCUACCAACUAUAUGGUUUGUCUAUUUGGUUGAUGUUCCUCAACGGUAUGAUCUCACCUUUACAAUGUUUAUUCUUGAAUCCGUAUCUUUCCUGAAGGAGCUCUACAUGAUAGCGUGUGAUUUACCUAGAGAUUUCUAUUUGCCACGUGGGCUUAAUGUUAGUGUCAUUUCCCCUUGACCAAUCGGACAUUUACUUUACUCUCUACUAGGUGCACUUCAGGAGCGUGUGUCAUGCACGAUGACAUUAGAUCAUCUGCAGCUUCCAAACUCGACAUUACAAAAGACCAGCGUACCGGUUGCUGAGAACCUGGCGGUGUUCCGAGCAAUCAAGUACAUGCAAUAUUUGCAAAAAAAACUAAAGGGAUGUCAGCUUUUGGUGAUGUAAGUAGCAGCUAUUAGGUGUUCAUUUUCUGUUCGGGUGUCGUGUCCUCUAAAUACAAUGCCCUUUCUUGAUUGGCCUACAUAUGAAGUUGGACGUCCGGGAACGCGCGGAUCGAGUUAGACGACCACAAGUCUUGAAAUACUUUCAGAGCUGGAGAUUGUGAUUUGAGUCGGUUACGUUUAGGUUGAAAGGCUUGAUAGUCAGCACGAAAUGUUUUUUGUUGGUUCAAGAACUAUUUAUGUGUGACAUUGAUCUACAUGUUUGUCAUGGAUUUGUUGUUGGCCACAUGGUUCAACAUUAUUAUUUGUCUAAUAUUUCAUCUUUA